rnacentral:rRNA from 1 species
GACGAACGCUGGCGGCGUGCUUAACACAUGCAAGUCGAACGGAAAGGCUCUGCGUUUGUUGUUGUCUGGAGUGCCGAGCAGGUGAGUAACACGCGAGGAACCUGUCCUUGACAGUGGGAUAACUUCAGGAGACAGGGGCGAAUACAGGAGAGAAGCUCCUAGAGCGCGGUGUGGGUUGGAAAGUGUCGGCGGUUGGGGAUGGACUCGCGGCUGAUCAGCGUGCAGGUGGGGUAGUGUCUUAGCAAGGCUUUGACGGGUGGCCGGCCUGAGAGGGUGACCGGCCACAUUGGGAUUGAGAAGCGGGCAAGACUCCUACGGGCGCAAGGAGUGGGGGAUAUAGGACGAUGGGCGGCAGGCUGAUGCAGCACCGCCGCGUGGGGGAUGACGGUCUUCGGGUUGUAAACCGCUUUCGCCUGUGAAGACGCGUCAGUGACGGUAAUGGGUAAAGAAGCACCGGCUAACUACGUG